rnacentral:rRNA from 1 species
CAAGUUCCCCGGGAGGGAAAGUUGCAAAGCACUUUGAAGAGAGAGUUAAAGAGGACGUGAAACCGGUGAGGUGGAAACGGAUAGAGCCAGCGUAUCGGGCCAGCAUUCAUCUGCGAGGUCGGCGCGCGCCCCUGCUUCGCUCUCCAGAUUGGGACGGAGUGGGGGUUGUACCCGGCCGAGCGGUGCAUUUGUUGGCGAGUGCGCCGAGCUGCCCGGGGCGGCGGUGUGAACCUGCUUUUGCGGCCAGCUUGCUGGAACCCGAGGUGGGCUAGCGCUGUUCGUUCUGGGUUCAUUCCCUGGGGCAUGGCUUACGGGCGCCGAUGGGUGCCGAGCCGGUGGUCGGUGGCGGUCGCGUGCGACACGUGCCGCACUCGCAGGUUCGGUCCUGCCGGUGCUCCCAUGCCCGCGCUCGGUGUAAGAGCUGGUCAUCUAUCCGACCCGUCUUGAAACACGGACCAAGGAGUUUAUCGUGUGCGCAAGCCAUUGGGCUCAGAAACCCAAAGGCGCAAUGAAAGUGAACAAUGUCCUCGCAAGAGGCAGACGUGCGAUCCCCGGCGCCUCGGUGCCGGGGCGCAGCAUGGCCCCAUCCCGACUGCUUGCAGUGGGGUGGCGGAAGAGCGUGCGCGGUGAGACCCGAAAGAUGGUGAACUAUUCCUGAGCAGGAUGAAGCCAGAGGAAACUCUGGUGGAAGUCCGAAGCGAUUCUGACGUGCAAAUCGAUCGUCUGACUUGGGUAUAGGGGCGAAAGACUAAUCGAACCAUCUAGUAGCUGGUUUCCCUUCCGA